UACAACCAUAUCAUGUUGAAACACUGGUUCUCACAUAAUCACCAAUCACCAAAGUUAAGCAACAUUGAGCCUGGUCAGUACCUAUAUGUGUGACUGCCUGGGAAUACCAGGUGCUAUA